UCCUCCAGCUCUGCCUCCAUCUCACGAACCUGGGGAAGGGGUCAGGGGUCAGUUAACAAGAUAUUACAGAGGGGGAUGAAAACACCAAGUCCCUGUCGAACUGGGCCUUCAUGGCCUGCAUGUUGACCUCCAGACGCAGCUUGCCGUCCUCCGUGGCCUGCAGCUCGUCCUCCAGCUCCUCCAGCUGGGUCCUCAUCUCCUCCACCUGCUGCUCCAGGGUGCGCUUCGACUUCUCCAGCUCAUGGACCUACACACAGGGGGACGUGGAAAGACUUUUAGCAGCAACAUCUCUUUUCUGGGUCGAAAACUGUCAUAAGGAAGCCAUCCCAUAGGAUUAGUCAAACAAACUUUCACUCAAAGCAACAUUCUAUGGGCCUCAUCCAGAGCCCGGGCCAUAGACAGAGCCUUGGUCUCCUUCUCCCUGGCCUCAGCCUCGGCCUUGUCACGCUCCUCAGCAUAGCGGGCAGAGAUGGUCUUCUCUUCAGCCAGGAGCUAAUAUAGAGGGAGAAGAUAGUGAUGAAGGAGGAUGGCAAGCAAUGUCUUACUGGUUGGAGACGAUGGUCCUCUGGUGGUCCAGGUCCACCAUGAGGUCGUCCAGCUCCUGCUGCAGGCGGGUCUUGGUCUUCUCCAUCUUGUCGAAGGCGGAGGCUUUCUCCUCCAGCCGCUGGCU